UCUCCGUAGGUGAACCUGCGGAGGGAUCACUACAGAGUUCAUGCCCUACCGGGUAGAUCUCCCACCCUAUGUUAUUAUUACUUUGUUGCUUUGGCGGGCCGUUAGGCUCCGGCCCGACUACCGGCCCCGGCUGGUAAGCGCCCGCCAGAGGACCCAAAACCCUGAAUAUUAGUGUCGUCUGAGUACUAUAUAAUAGUUAAAACUUUCAACAACGGAUCUCUUGGUUCUG
rnacentral:misc_RNA from 1 species